rnacentral:rRNA from 1 species
UACGUAGGUGGCGAGCGUUGUCCGGAAUUAUUGGGCGUAAAGGGCGCGUAGGCGGGAUAUUAAGUCUGUCUUAAAAGUGCAGGGCUCAACCCUGUGAUGGGACAGAAACUAAUAUUCUUGAGUGCAGGAGAGGAAAGUGGAAUUCCCAGUGUAGCGGUGAAAUGCGUAGAUAUUGGGAGGAACACCAGUGGCGAAGGCGACUUUCUGGACUGUGUCUGACGCUGAGGCGCGAAAGCCAGGGGAGC